rnacentral:rRNA from 1 species
AUUGAACGCUGGCGGCAUGCUUUACACAUGCAAGUCGAACGGUAACAGGCCGCAAGGUGCUGACGAGUGGCGAACGGGUGAGUAAUGCAUCGGAACGUGCCCAGUCGUGGGGGAUAACGCAGCGAAAGCUGCGCUAAUACCGCAUACGAUCUAUGGAUGAAAGCGGGGGACCGUAAGGCCUCGCGCGAUUGGACCGGCCGAUGUCAGAUUAGGUAGUUGGUGGGGUAAAGGCUCACCAAGCCAACGAUCCGUAGCUGGUCUGAGAGGACGACCAGCCACACUGGGACUGAGACACGGCCCAGACUCCUACGGGAGGCAGCAGUGGGGAAUUUUGGACAAUGGGCGCAAGCCUGAUCCAGCAAUGCCGCGUGCAGGAAGAAGGCCUUCGGGUUGUAAACUGCUUUUGUACGGAACGAAACGGUCUUGGUUAAUACCUGGGGCUAAUGACGGUACCGUAAGAAUAAGCACCGGCUAACUACGUGCCAGCAGCCGCGGUAACAC